GUGGGAAUGUACUAAAUUUUGACCCGAUCAAAGUUUUCAGUCAUACACGAGCUACAUAACCUUACUGGUGACACAAGAGGCGACUAGAUUGGCACAGCUGUUGCCUUGGUUGUGUACAGUUGGCGUAAACAAGCCGUCGUUUCAGCAGCAGAAUUGUUGCCUAACUUUAAUGCAUCGCAUUCCAAUCCGCAAGGUAUCAAGGCUGUUGGAAACGUGUCGUUCUAAAGCAAGAUGUCAACAAUGGAAGACAAAUUUUCCCACCUGCCAGAUAUAAGUACCACACAGCCAGAUCGGCUUAUCAAAUAUCGAGUUAGUGAUGAUGGGUUUGCAGCGGAGGUUCUCUUGCCAGGAUUUUCCUACACAGACUUUGAUAGAAAAAUUGGAGGGCGACUAUUCAUGUGGAGCCUGGCUAAACUGAUAGAGGCAGUGCGUUGGCAAGGACUUAAACAUGGGUUCAUACACUACCCCCGUAUGUGUCAUGGAACAAAUCUAGGCCUGUUCGUCGUGGGCCAGUGGUUCAAGAUCAGUGAAAAUCUGCAUGAUUUACAUAACUAUGACAAUAGCUAUGGCAUUGACAAGCCUCUACGUUUUAUUCAAUACGUGUCAAAUGUAGGCAAAAGUUCAUUUUCAUUUGUCCUCGAUUGGAUUGAAAGAGGUAAUGGGGAGAUUUUGGUGAGAGUGAUCACGAACAUAGUACUUGUUAACUUGCAAACAAGAAGACCAGAAACAUUACCCGAAUAUUUUUUUAUCGGUCUUAAUGACCAUUUGAAACUGGCUGAAGCUGUACUGCAAACUACUGAAUGGAAUAGAAAAAUGCCACUCGAGGACUUGAAAAUGUCAUACAGGGUUAACAUAAAGGUACUUCAUAGUGACGUGGAUAUGUAUGGACAUGUGAAUCAGGCCACCUACUUCAAGUGGUGCUCAGACGCUACCAGUGAGGCUGCAAAGAGUGGACACCUACCACGGUUUACCAAGCAUAUAGAGCGGUACAGUGUUAAGGAGGUGCAAGCCAUCUAUAAGGGGGAGGCUCUGGCCAAUGAAGUUGUGACAGUGGCGGUGCAGAGAAAUGGUGAAGAGGAUAAUGUGGUGACGUGUGCAAUAGAGAACAAAGGAAAUGUAAUUUUCACAAUGAAAAUGUCUUUGUAUGAUAAGCCUGCAGUGAGUGUUGAUCAACAUUUGGAAUCAAAACUUUGAAUCAUUUGAAGUGUGAAAUAUUUGGCUGUCUUUUUCUAGUGGAGUAUCUUGUACUCAAUAGCAUCCAUUAUUUACAUAAAAUGGAAACUCAAUCUUUGGUCUGUGGCUAUGGUUUUCCAGUGCAUUCGAUACACAGUGCUUGAGAAAGGUUUUGGGCAUUUCAAUAGACUUAAAGAUGCAAAUCACUCGAUAUUCAUGGCGGGAACCUCAUAUGAGUUCACAGAUAAAGGAAAUGCACUCAGAACACUGAAUCUGUGGGGACUGAAGCAGCCAAUGAUAGCUAGGCUUAGGAUAAUUCAUGCUGGAACAUCAUCCUUUACAUUUGAAAUCAAUUUAAAUUUACACAAAACAGGAGAAUCGCUGAUAACUUCAUGCAUGACAUUUGUGUAUGUUGAUUAUAGAACACGCAAAUCGGUUUCAUUCCCUGACUGGUACAAUACAGUGAAACCAAAGCAGAUCUUUCUACAAGCACCUUCUAGACUGGUUACUCCUUUGGUUCCUCAAGAUGCCUUCAAGUUUGAGGUCUUUGCAGCUUUUAGUGACAUGGAUUUCAAUGGGCAUGUAAACCAGUCUGUGUAUGUGAAAUGGUGCACCGAUGCAGGAACAGAGGCUGCAAUCAAGGGCCAUUACUCUGGUUUCUCAGGCAAUAUUGGAAGAUAUCCAAUAAGCAAAUUUAAAGUAAAAUAUAUUGGAGAAGGAUUUGUGAAUGACAAAUUUGAGAUCUGCACUUGGCAAGAUAAAGUGCAACCACUUAGACUGCACUUUGUGUUUAUUAAAGACAGGGUUGUUAAUAUUGUUGUGGAAUUGUGCUUUAAAUCACUAGAAAUUGAUGCUAAGUUAUAAACAUUUGUAACAAAUGCCAUGCAACCUGGGAAUCAAUUACCAUAAAAAAUUUCAUUUAUCUGAUUUGUUUAUUUAAUAUGCACCAGUUCUCUUGCACCCUGUCCCUUAGGACCUUCACCAUGGCUUUUUUAUCAGAUAGUUGUAUAGCACAUUGUAUAAGUAGUUGAAAUAAAUACAUGUAUGAAAAAUAUAAUAAAUGAUAAAGUUACA